CCUACGGGUGGCAGCAGUGGGGAAUAUUGGACAAUGGGCGAAAGCCUGAUCCAGCCAUGCCGCGUGUGUGAAGAAGGCCUUCGGGUUGUAAAGCACUUUCAGUGGGGAAGAAAGCCUUGGGCUAAUACCCUCGAGGAAGGACAUCACCCACAGAAGAAGCACCGGCUAACUCCGUGCCAGCAGCCGCGGUAAUACGGAGGGUGCGAGCGUUAAUCGGAAUUACUGGGCGUAAAGCGCGCGUAGGCGGUCUGAUAAGCCGGUUGUGAAAGCCCCGGGCUCAACCUGGGAACGGCAUCCGGAACUGUCAGGCUAGAGUGCAGGAGAGGAAGGUAGAAUUCCCGGUGUAGCGGUGAAAUGCGUAGAGAUCGGGAGGAAUACCAGUGGCGAAGGCGGCCUUCUGGACUGACACUGACGCUGAGGUGCGAAAGCGUGGGUAGCAAACAGGAUUAGAUACCCCUGUAGUC
rnacentral:rRNA from 1 species